rnacentral:lncRNA from 1 species
AACAGAAACGUUGAGAGCCAUCUAGUGAGGAGGAGAAAUGGAAUCGUGGAGAAACGAAAUAGUACAUGGGAGAGAAGAUUGAGGAAGACGACAAGGAAGGAAUAGCUAUAAGGGAUGAAAGAUGGGCUGCCAUCGGCCCUAAGCUGUAGCAAGGGACCGAUCAUUGUUGUAGAUCUAGGAUUUUUGGGCAAGAAGGGAGACAACGCCUGGAGAGAGAUGCACGAGUUUUUUUUUAUUGAAUGAAAUUGAUAUGGAGCAUUUGAUUCACUUUGAUUUUGAAUUUUCCGGCCGAGCAUAAUUUGUUUUGAGAUAAGGUGAAUUGUUUGUUGGGGUAGAAGCUAAAUGAUAUUGGAAGAUGAACGACAUAAUUUAUUUAUUUUUUUGUUUUAAUUAAUGACUAGGGUUUGUGGGUGCAAAUAGAAAUAUGGAAAAAUUAGUAUCUGGUCCCUAGCUACUAAUGUUCAUUGUUUGAGGUUUUAUUAGUUUUCAGAUUUUGAUUGAAGUCUCUAGCAUUAAUAUAUUAAUAAAUUUAUAUGUGAGUUACAUAAUUUUUUAAAAUAAAAAUUUGUAAUAGAUUUAGGGUUCUAAUACUCACAACUUUAUUAAAUUCCUACUUACAUCUCAGUUCAAAACAUUUCCACAAUAAAAAAAUAACACUAAAAUAAUUUUGUACUCAUUGUUGCAGUCCUAUUAGUUUAGGAAUGUGAUUGUGUAAAUCCUAUCAUAUCUGGGAUAUCCUUAUAGGAUUCUACCAUAUCUCUUAGACUAGAUAUUAUCCUAUUAGAGUUGUAACCCUAUUGGGGUAAGGAAUUUACCUUCCCUACUACUAUAAAUAAAGGCACAAUGGGGUGAGAUAACACACACCUCACACUUACACGUUUCUUUCUUUUCUCUCUGUGCCACCGCACCUGAUUAUAUUGUUUAGUAAAUAAGGUUACAACACAUUACCAUCAUGCUCUUGAAGCUGCGCUAAAGAGACUUUGUUCAUCUUCCUGUGGAGUAUUACGUUUUAAUCAUUUUUUUAUGAUUAACUUGUUAUUUUAUUGAAUUGAUUUACAUGCUAUUGAUUUAGUUUGAUUUUCUUUGUUGAACGUGAUAUAACGUAUUGGAGAUGCAAUUCCAGCUUUCCAAAAAGAAUAUUCUACAAAUUCAAAGGCUCAGUUGUUUUAUGCCAAUCAUGUUCUUUUAAAAUAAAUUAAGAUAUUUGAAACGACCAUGAAGUAUGAAACAAUCCACAUGAUGCAUGAACGCCCUACAUUUACACACACACACACACACACACACACACACACACACACACACACACACAUGUAGGGCGUUCAUGCAUCAUGUGGAUUGAUGCAAGUAUUAUCCUAUAUGGAAGAUUCACUAAUGUUUAGAACUUAACAUGAGUUUUACGUUAAAAUUUGAGAUGCCCAUUUAUAGUUAGCCUGAUGCUUUUAGUAGCUUACAUGGAUUCACUAUUGUCUAUGGGAGCUAGCUAGGGAUCUUUCCCAGUUAACCUAAAAUGACAAGACACCUCUAUUAGGGCUAGGUAGGGAUCUUUCCCAGCUGAUCUAAACUUGACAAGACACCCUUUGUUAAAAAAUUAAAAAUAAAAAUUUGACAAGACACCUCUUGCCUGAGACCAACUGGCUGUCAAUUGUAUGUCAUGGAAGUGCUGCUUAUGUCCCUUGGAACUUACCAUAACACACUGAUUAAAUCUUGGUCUCGUUCAAAAAAAUCUUGGUCAAUAAGUGGGAAAAAAUAGUACGGGACACUUCAAUACUUUCAAACCACAUAAUUGUUUCAUAGACCUUCUAACUAUACUCAUCAUUACAACCACUUUAUACGGAAGAUGUAAAAUUAUUAGAGAUACUUGCUAAAGACCCAUUUUCAACAACAGCAAUAAUAUCCUCAACUUGGAAAGUACCACUUGCAUAAUUUGUCAGGCAAGGACGGAACUAGUGUAGGCCUAGGGGGCGGAUGCCCCCACUCAUUUUAAAAAAAAAUUGUAUGAUUGCGUUCCAAUUCUCAAUAACCAGCCCUAAUUAAACUACAAUUAACAAAAAUUGGUAGGCAACUAAACUAGUCUACUAUUUUGGAUCCCAAAUGCCUUACCUAAUGACAAUUUAAUUAACAAUUAAUUUAACUGUGAAUCCCCGUUUUUCUAACCCUAGGUCGUCAAUCCACACAAAACUCAUCCCACCACGUACGGCAAAGCAAUUCCAGUCCUCAACUUCUUCAAAUUUUUUCUCCCUUUUCAUUCAACCAAAACUCAAUUGAAUUUGGAGUGUUAUAGAUAGUUGAAGUUCAAGUAAUCAAUUAUCAAAAUUCAACACAAGAAUUUUACUCCACAAGGUAUUUUAUACGACUUUACUUCAUUAAUUUGUUUUUGGCAUUUCAAUUUAGAAUUUAGCUGUCUAAUUUAGAGAUCAAUUGAUGAAUGAUAAUAUGAUUAUUUUUAUACCAAGAGAUAUUUAGUGGUAUUGGCAAUGAUAUUGUUAUGCAACGCUUUCAAAACAUGAAAACGAUUCGAGGAAUAAUGUAAUAUGUUGUAUGAAAAACUUUAUGGAUUAAUAUAUUAGCGUUUUGUUCAAUAAAUUCUUGAGACUUUUAAUUGUGACUUUCUUGUUUGAGGAUGCCCCCGCUUAUAGAAAUCUUUGGCUUCGUCCCUGCUAUCAGGUAUGAUGUUUUAUCACAAAACGCCUCAGUAUUAAUUGGAGUGGGGUUAGGAUACUUAAACUAUUCUUUUCUCAUAGAUACGGUCGAUGUGAGACAUUUGAACAUGCCCCCUCACGUGGAACCCAAUUAGUGGGUUACACGUGGGAGAUCCACACAUCAACAACCAUGUGGAGCCAAGAAGACUCACUGUUAAGUACCAGGUUUAGUGUUUUGGCUAUCCUUGUCAAAGUUUGCAAAUGCUACCACACAUGCUCAUAAUUUAGAGUUAGGGUACACUGUCGAUCUGGCAAUUCUACUGGGAUUGAACUUGUCAAGACACCAGUCUUCUACGCUACAAAAGGUUUGAAUCAAACAUUUGCAUUUUCAUAUCAAGCUUAUUUUUCCAGAUUCCUUUUGUUUAGUGUAGUUGUCUAGCUAAAAAUUUCGUCUGUUAUCCAGCUGCUUAGGCACACAAAUUAAGACAGCCCACAUGGGCCAUUUGACACUUUUUCCAGAGCAUGGAUUUCUCACCCUUAAUCUGAAAAGGUAUUUUUGGCUUGUAAACACGUGUCCCCUUGUUCCCCUUGUCUGAAACAUUCAUCUCUCCCAUUAAAAAGGUUCUCAAGGAUUCAUUUGUUCUUUGGUUAGGAUUUUCACAUUUCAGAAAAAAGUGCAUUUAGCCUAGAGCUACCUUUUAAGUUUCCAAACCGAAACCCUAACCACAAAAUCAUCUCAUGCACAAACACCCAAUCAUUGCAUAUUAGUGUUGCAUUGUUUUAAUGGUUUUGCAUUAAGCCUUUGGUCUAUACCUAAGUUUCAUAUCCUUCAUAGACCAAUCUCUUGGAUUCAUGUUAGGUUCUUCUUCAAUUGGUUGAUUGGAGAACCUGCUUAGUCAUCUGAAUCUAGAUCUCAUAAGAAUAUCAUAACAUCACAUCAUUGAUCGUGUUGAUCUCAGUGCCACAAGGUGAUGAGCUUAGGAGGAACUACUACUUUGUGAAGACCAAAGGACUUCAUCUCAUGUAAGGCAAGGUUGUACAAAGGUAAAGCUGCUCCAUAUAUAGGGAUCUAGGAAUUGAGUUUGUGUGGUCUUUGUAUGAACCUUUGUUUACACUAGUGGAUUGGAUUUAGUGGAGAGUCCCCGGUUUUUUUACCCAGAUGUGGGUUUUUCCGGCCAAAAACUUCCUUGUGUUCAAUACUUUACGAAACCUUAUUUAUAACUUUGUUGGAAUUAAACUUUGUAGGGUUUGCUAAUUUGACUCUUUAUUAACCAAGAGAACUUAACUCAAGUUCUAAGACUAAAACUUAACUGAAGUUCACAUUGUUAAGUUUUAAUAUUUUACGUUUGUUUGGUUUACAUGCUUAUGGGAUUCUGACAAUCUGUACUCAGUUGACUAGUACAUUUGGCUAGUUAGUAUAGUUGUUUUUAAGUUUUUUAUUGUAGGGUAUUCCACCUGGUACCAAUUUCAAUUGAGCCUUGCUCUAGACACAUAUAGAGUCAGAGCCUUGCAUUAGACACAUAUAGAGUAAUCUCUGGGAUUAUACUGGUAUUGGGUGGACUUGCAUCAUGGAUCGUGAUCGUUUGCUGGAUCAUGUAACUCUCCUCCGUUCUUUGAUGGCGUGAAUUAUGCAGCGUGGAGUGAGAAGUUUCAAAUAUU